GACAGUGAUAGAUAAGGACAUACAGCCAGAGGAAACAGUCAUACAACGCCUUAACAAGAUGUCUAGUGGUCCCUUCUCCUGCUUCUCCAAACAGGAAAUAUUCCUUCUCCAACCUCCACUAUGGUUCUUGUUGCAACAGAAUAUUCUGGUGAGUACACCUGUCUUUCAACGACAUUCCUUAUCAUACAGUAAAAUAUAAUCUGUGUGUUUCAUGAGUAUCUCUCUCCCUGUAGGCCCCACCAGCCCCAGAUGACCAACCUGGACCCCCAACAGGACCAACGAUCUACCCAGGGCCGAGCUCCUGAUGCUGGGUAUACAUGUCUGCAGCAUGGUGGCACCAACCUCUAUGAUACAAUCACUUCCUCAGACAAUAAUGACAGUGAUGCUGGUGCUGCUACUGCUGGAUCAAGUGAUGUGAUGUACGCCCAGAUUCAACUCAAAAAGUUGGGCAAGAAAAAGAAAAAAACCCCACAUCAGGCAGAUUCGGUCUAUUCUCAAGUGAAUCCAGUCACAGCCCCAAGUCCUUGAGGGAUGGAGGGAGGGAAGGAUAGAGAGAAGGAUGGAGGGACACACAAACAGAGCAGAAGCAGAAGGAUACCUGGGAAGGAUUAUUCACGCUCAACGUACGCAAGAAAACACACACACACACACACACACUCACACACACACACACACACACACACACACACACAAUAACACCUUGUACUUUAAGGAUUUUUUCUCAUGUUAUUUUUCAACAGAUAUAUUUUACUUAUUCAUGGUUUAAUUGUGUAUUACUGUAACAGCUUUGUUUAAUUAUAUGGUGUAAUGAUAAUGGGUUUUAUCUGCAGCUUCAACAAUUUUAAAUCGGCUUUGUAUUGUGUACUGAGUUUUAUUGUUUUCUUGUAAAUGUAUUCACCUGUAUGGGAUCGGUGUACCUAAACUGGGCCAGUUGUUGCUCAAUAUGCGAUAAUGUGACUAGAAUGACAUUGUAAACAACAACCAACUUUCCAGGACAUAGACAUGUCUUACAUGGGCAGAAAGCUUCUCAGCUUUAUGGGCUCCUGAGUGGUGCAGUGGUCUGAGGCACUGUAUCUCAGUGCAAAAGGCAUCACUACAGUUCCUGGUUCAAAUCCAGGCUGCAUCACAUCUGGUUGUGAAUGGGAGUACCAUAGAGCGGUGCACAGUUGUCCGGGGUAGGCCGUCAUUGUAAAUAAGAAUUUGUUCAUAACUUGACAUAUAAAAAAAUAUGAUGUCAUAUCCUCUCUGCAGGAGUUCUGAGAAGCUGGUUAGUACUGAUACUGUGUAUCACUUCCUCUUUAAUGUGGACAUGCAUGUCUAUGAUGGCCAAGUAAAGAAAAGUCAGACUUAUGAGCCAGGGUGUGAUAUUUACUGUGUCGAAUUCCAAGUAGAAACCUCCGUGUGCAUGACGACCAGUUCUCCCAUAUUGCCUCCUCAUACUACAGACAGGUCAUGACGAUUCAUGACAUUAGUGGUGUAUGACUAUUUUCUGUGUCCCUGCAUGGCCUGGAAGAUCACUGUUCCAGUUAGGGGGAUUAUGUGUCUAUGUGGUCAGAAAGACAGCUAGCAGCAAGGUCAUUGUCUCUGCUCCUGAGAAACAGAAACAGUUUACCACGUAAACCACAAGUCACAGGAAGUGACAUCACCACAAGAUGUUACCCGAAACAUAGAAGGGGGGACUUUGUCAGUAACCUGGGACCCACUACCGUUCUGAAACAGUUGACAGGGGUUUCAUGUCACUCAGCCACAUUGAUUUAUGAGCAUGCAGAAGAAGUCAUGCAAACACUUCUGCAGGCAUAUGAGGCCUAGAAGAAAACUAUAGAACUAUAGAAUGUGACUUCCUUUUCAACUAACAUACAAUAAUUAUUUAUAGAACAGCAGCCCUCAUCAAAAGGAGGUCUCUGCUCUUUCUCUGCUCUUCUCUAUGUGUUUUGGUUAGUCAACUGCUAGCUACCAGUGACAGUGAUAGAUAAGGACAUACAGCCAGUGGAAACAGUCAUACAACACCUUAAAGAGAUGUUUGGUUGUCCCUUCUCCUGCUUCUCCAAACAGGGAAUAAAAAAGUUUUGUAAAAAUAA
rnacentral:lncRNA from 1 species